rnacentral:rRNA from 1 species
GACGAACGCUGGCGGCGUGCUUAACACAUGCAAGUCGAACGGAAAGGCCCUGCUUUUGUGGGUUGCUCGAGUGGCGAACGGGUGAGUAACACGUGAGUAACCUGCCCUUGACUUUGGGAUAACUUCAGGAAACUGGGGCUAAUACCGGAUAGGAGCUCCUGCUGCAUGGUGGGGGUUGGAAAGUUUCGGCGGUUGGGGAUGGACUCGCGGCUUAUCAGCUUGUUGGUGGGGUAGUGGCUUACCAAGGCUUUGACGGGUAGCCGGCCUGAGAGGGUGACCGGCCACAUUGGGACUGAGAGACGGCCCAGACUCCUACGGGAGGCAGCAGUGGGGAAUAUUGCAGAAUGGGCGGAAGCCUGAUGCAGCAACGCCGCGUGCGGGAUGACGGCCUUCGGGUUGUAAACCGCUUUCGCCUGUGACGAAGCGUGAGUGACGGUAAUGGGUAAAGAAGCACCGGCUAACUACGUG